rnacentral:rRNA from 1 species
CACGUAGGGGGCAAGCGUUGUCCGGAUUUAUUGGGCGUAAAGAGCUCGUAGGUGGUUCGGUAAGUCGGGUGUGGAAACUCUGGGCUCAACUCAGAGACGCCACCCGAUACUGCUGUGACUCGAGUCUGGUAGGGGAGUGUGGAAUUCCCAGUGUAGCGGUGAAAUGCGCAGAUAUUGGGAGGAACACCAGUGGCGAAGGCGGCACUCUGGGCCAGUACUGACACUGAGGAGCGAAAGCGUGGGUAGCGAACAGG